GAACCCUUGGCACAGUGGUAGCGCGUGAGAUUCCAGCGAUCGAUCAUUGCCUCUUUGGGCUAAGCAGAUCACGUGGCCUCCUCAAGGUCGUCCGUUCGAUCCGGGCAGGGUUCA